rnacentral:rRNA from 1 species
CCUACGGGUGGCUGCAGUGGGGAAUAUUGGACAAUGGGGGCAACCCUGAUCCAGCCAUGCCGCGUGUGUGAAGAAGGCCCUCGGGUUGUAAAGCACUUUCAGUGAGGAAGAACGCCUGGUGGUUAAUACCCAUCAGGAAAGACAUCACUCACAGAAGAAGCACCGGCUAACUCCGUGCCAGCAGCCGCGGUAAUACGGAGGGUGCGAGCGUUAAUCGGGAUUACUGGGCGUAAAGCGCGCGUAGGUGGCUUGAUAAGCCGGUUGUGAAAGCCCCGGGCUCAACCUGGGAACGGCAUCCGGAACUGUCAAGCUAGAGUGCAGGAGAGGAAGGUAGAAUUCCCGGUGUAGCGGUGAAAUGCGUAGAGAUCGGGAGGAAUACCAGUGGCGAAGGCGGCCUUCUGGACUGACACUGACACUGAGGUGCGAAAGCGUGGGUAGCAAACAGGAUUAGAUACCCUAGUAGUC